AUGAUCUCCCCGUGCCCCACUCUCUCCUUCCACUCCUCUGGCUUCUUCUCCCGCUCCGCCUCCUUCUCCCGUCCGGCCUCAUUCUCCCCGAGGCCCAUGUCGCCGCCUGCCUUGCCGGCCGGCCAGGCACCGCCGCCGGUGCUCUCGGCCCAAUUCGCCCACCCCGCCACCUUAUCCCGCUCCGCCUUCUUCUCCACAUCUGACGUCGCUGUGCUGGUCCGCGACGCCUCCUCCUGCUUCUACGAGGUGCUAGGCCUGGACGCCGGUGCGAGCGACGGGGAGAUCAAGGCCGCGUACCACUGUCUAGCUCGCGCUGUCCACCCGAACGUGUCCCUGCACCCUGCCACAUCCGCCGACGACUUUAUACGGGUGCACGCCGCCUAUAGCAUGCUCUCCAACCCCAGCAAGCGCAACGACUAUGACCGCCGCAUGAUCAUGAUCCCCUCUGCCGUCGGCUGCCGCAGCGGCCCGAACCUCGCCCGCUCGCCAUCGUUCACCGGGUGCCGCCGCCGCACCUGGGAGACCGACCAGUGCUGGUGA
rnacentral:rRNA from 1 species